AUAAUACUGUAACUUGCCAACCAGAACCCGCUUCACUUUUCAGGGCUGCAUACUGUCCCACCACACAUCCUGUGAAUCCAUAGCUGCUGCCCUGGGGACUGUCUGCCACAGACAGUCAUGGAGUUCCUUGUGCUCUCAUACUAUCACCUCGCUGGGGUGAACGCACCUUGCACCUUUAUGUGAGAUAAAUCACGUCCCGUGGAGUUGUGUUAAGUGAAUGAAGAACCAAGAACAGCAGAGCCGCCGACGGGGGAUGGCGAGAACACGGACCUCACGUUGGAAAGCAGUGAGGCCGCUGGAGUCAGCAUCGCAGUGGGAGAUGGCAGUGAAGAGCCAAAGCAGGUGCCGCCAUCUGGCAGUGCUGUGACCUCGGGGGAGGCCUGUGCCCUGGAGCUCCUCCACGUUCAGCCUUUAAAUCAGCAGAUCCACAGAAGGGAUCUGGAAGCCGCCUUCAUCAUCAGGAUUGAGAACAAAGCACAGGCGCUGGUGUUGGCCUGCCUGGCGCGGCUGCUGGGGUCCGGAGAUCAGGAAGGAGGAGCUGAGGAGAGGACCGAGGUAGGAAUUGAGGAGGCAGAGGAGAAGGGAGCCAGGACGGAAGUCUCGGCACCCAGGCCCCGGACUGGAAACUCCCAGGGCCCCUGGAGCCCCGUGGUGGCGCUGCCGGCUCUGUACCCCCUCCUUGUAUGGCUCUGGGUCUCCAAGCCCCAGUGGGUGCCCGGGUCCCCUGCUCUGCAAGCAGCAGUGAGGUCCUGGUGCUGGGGGCCACGCAUGUCCCCAGGUCUUCGAGGAACAGCGGGGUCACUCGCUAAGCUGUCGGCCAGCCAGGGUCUCUACUGCACCUGGAGGAGCUUCUUUGCUCCCCUUCCCUGGGGGCUGUGGCGCGAACCCAGGCACAGGGCGCUGUCACUGGGGGCUGCUCACACCGUGAGCUCUAGAGAGCUGCGGGGAGCGCGGGUGUUUCUAGUUUCAGAAACAGGGGGUGCACCGUCCCCUACAGA
rnacentral:lncRNA from 1 species